GAUCAUGGUUCAGGAUGAACGCUAGCUACAGGCUUAACACAUGCAAGUCGAGGGGCAGCAUGGUCUUAGCUUGCUAAGACUGAUGGCGACCGGCGCACGGGUGAGUAACACGUAUCCAACCUGCCGUCUACUCUUGGACAGCCUUCUGAAAGGAAGAUUAAUACAAGAUGGCAUCAUGAGUCCGCAUGUUCACAUGAUUAAAGGUAUUCCGGUGGACGAUGGGGA
rnacentral:rRNA from 1 species